rnacentral:rRNA from 1 species
UACGGAGGAUGCAAGCGUUAUCCGGAAUGAUUGGGCGUAAAGCGUCCGCAGGUGGCUAUGUAAGUCUGCUGUUAAAGAGUGAGGCUCAACCUCAUAAAAGCAGUGGAAACUACAUGGCUAGAGUGCGUUCGGGGCAGAGGGAAUUCCUGGUGUAGCGGUGAAAUGCGUAGAUAUCAGGAAGAACACCGGUGGCGAAAGCGCUCUGCUAGGCCGCAACUGACGCUGAGGAGCGAAAGCCAGGGAGCAAACAGG